rnacentral:rRNA from 1 species
UACGUAGGGGGCGAGCGUUGUCCGGAUUUAUUGGGCGUAAAAGGCUUGUAGGUGGCCACGCCAAGUCGGCUGUGAAAUCUCCCGGCUCAACUGGGAGGGUCAGUCGAUACUGGCGGGCUCAAGGCCGGUAGGGGGAAGCGGGAAUUCCCGGUGUCAGUGGUGGAAUGCGUAGAUAUCGGGAGGAACACCAGUGGCGAAGGCGGCUUCCUGGACCG